UACAGAGGUCUCAAGCGUUGUUCGGAUUCAUUGGGCGUAAAGGGCGCGUAGGCGGCCUGCUAAGUCGGAUGUGAAAUCCCUCGGCUCAACCGAGGAACUGCAUCCGAUACUGGCGGGCUUGAAUCCGGGAGAGGGAUGUGGAAUUCCAGGUGUAGCGGUGAAAUGCGUAGAUAUCUGGAGGAACACCGGUGGCGAAGGCGGCAUCCUGGACCGGUAUUGACGCUGAGGCGCGAAAGCUAGGGGAGCAAACGGG
rnacentral:rRNA from 1 species